AUACAUGCAGUCGAGCGAGCAAAGUUAAAGGAAUACUUCGGUAGGAAUUUAAUAGCGCGAGCGGCGGAUGGGUGAGUAACACGUGGGCAACCUGCCCUUUAGCUUGGGAUACCACUUGGAAACAGGUGCUAAUACCAAAUAAGAAGUAAGAGCGCAUGCUCAAGCUAUGAAAGGCGGCUUUCGAGCUGUCACUAAAGGAUGGGCCCGCGGUGCAUUAGCUAGUUGGUAAGGUAACGGCUUACCAAGGCAAUGAUGCAUAGCCGAGUUGAGAGACUGAUCGGCCACAUUGGGACUGAGACACGGCCCAAACUCCUACGGGAGGCAGCAGUAGGGAAUCUUCCACAAUGGACGCAAGUCUGAUGGAGCAACGCCGCGUGAGUGAAGAAGGUUUUCGGAUCGUAAAGCUCUGUUGUUGGUGAAGAAGGACAUGGGUAGUAACUGAUCUAUGUUUGACGGUAAUCAACCAGAAAGUCACGGCUAACUACGUGCCAGCAGCCGCGGUAAUACGUAGGUGGCAAGCGUUGUCCGGAUUUAUUGGGCGUAAAGCGAACGCAGGCGGGAGAACAAGUCAGCUGUGAAAGCCCUCGGCUUAACCGAGGAACGGCAACUGAAACUGUUUUUCUUGAGUGCAGAAGAGGAGAGUGGAACUCCAUGUGUAGCGGUGAAAUGCGUAGAUAUAUGGAAGAACACCAGUGGCGAAGGCGGCUCUCUGGUCUGUAACUGACGCUGAGGUUCGAAAGCAUGGGUAGCGAACAGGAUUAGAUACCCUGGUAGUCCAUGCCGUAAACGAUGAGUGCUAAGUGUUGGGAGGUUUCCGCCUCUCAGUGCUGCAGCUAACGCAUUAAGCACUCCGCCUGGGGAGUACGACCGCAAGGUUAAAACUCAAAGGAAUUGACGGGGGCCCGCACAAGCGGUGGAGCAUGUGGUUUAAUUCGAAGCAACGCGAAGAACCUUACCAGGUCUUGACAUCUAGUGCCAACCCUAGAGAUAGGGUGUUUCCUUCGGGAACACUAAG
rnacentral:rRNA from 1 species